rnacentral:snRNA from 1 species
GUGCUUGUCUCAGCAGCAUGUCCACUAAGGUUGGAACAAUUCAGAGAAAAUUCACAUAGCCCCUGUACAAGAAUGAUACACACAUUUGUGAAGGGUUUCAUGAUUUC